AAGUCCAGAUUCUCCCAUCACCAGCCUCUCUCAUAGGCAGAGGUGGCCAUGUGACCCAGUUUCGGCUAACGAGAUGUAAGGUGGACUCUACUCAGGGUCUUCCAGGAAAGAUAUUUUCCUUUCUAAUUGUGGUGAAGACUGCCAGGUAUCUGUUAUUUUGUUCUUCCCUUUUUUUUUUUUUUUUUAGAACUUUUAAGUUUUAGCUGUGCAUAUGGCUACUAGGAAUAAAUACUGCAUUUUCCAGUGUCUUUUCUAGCUAGUUGUGGCUUUGUGACUAAAUCCUGGCCAGUAGGAUAUAAGCAAAAGUGUUUUGUGGCAGCUUUCAGGAAAUUUCGUCAAAAGAAAGCUCUCAUGUGUCCUUUUUAUUCCUCAUUCCUCCAUCCUGCUGGCUGUAAUGUUGACAUGAUGGCUGGAGCUGCUGUAACCUUCUGGAACUAUGAAGUCACCUUGAGAAAGGAAGCUGUGACUAGUAGAAUGACAAGAGAGAUGGAGGCUUGUUUUCUGAAGGGAUCACAGACAGGCCCUAAAAGAAUUCUCUGAUCUUCCUCUAAAGCAGUUCUUAAGACCCUCAUGUGAGAAGUGCCUACCCCAUACUCAGAGGAAAGGAAUAUGCUUAACUUUGGAACCACAGGAACACAGAGAAGAAUCUGAACAAACUGGCUUGUCUAAUCAAAUAUCUCUACAACUAUCCACUUCUUCAUCAAACUUGGCAUAAAAAUACACAGAUUUCCC
rnacentral:lncRNA from 1 species